rnacentral:lncRNA from 1 species
CUACUGUUCUGUGAGGUUGAGAAGAACAAAGUGAUCUGUCCCUAAUGUAAAAUAUCUUCCUCCUUUGACAACUUGAGGACUGGUACCAGGCGGAGUACAACAGAGCACAGGAGCGGAGGAGGAAGAUCAAAGAGGAUCAUGGGAGAGUGAUACAGGAGGAGGUGGAGAAGAUGGAAAGAGAGCUGGGGCAGGAACAGACUGAGGGCCCCCAGAGGGAGCUAUUGGUCCUGGGCAGAGAGAGACAGGUCCUGAUUCUCCAGAUGGAGGCCCUGCACACUGAGGCCUCGGAGGCCGAGAGAGACCUGGAGACACAGUACCACAGACACCAGCAUGAGCUUCACUCUCUUAGGGAGGAGAGUCUGCAGGUGUUCCGGGUUUUCCGCCAGGUAAGUGAGGAGCAGAGGAGGGUGUCAGAGGGCAGGUACAGGACUCUCCUGCUGGAGGCCAUACAGGAUGCAGUCUACCUGUCCUCUCAGAACCAACAGCUACAGGCAGACAACAAACAGCUCCGCAAAGCAUUGGCAGAGCUAAAGGACAUUCUGUGUGUGCAGGGUGACCUCAAGGGACAAAGAGUAUCCCAGUAA